UGGAAAAGGGGAGUUAAAAUUCCUCCUCAAUCAAUUAAAAAACCCCUCAGGCUGAUUGAUUUUGGAAAGCUCUAUUUAAUACCUGCAUAUUUAAGUUUAAAUUUGAUGAGGCUAGACUUAGACUGGAAGCGCUAUUCCAAACAAAUCCCCUUACAGUAUUUUAACGUAUUAAUCCUAAGUAUACAGUAAUCUGUAAUAAAUUCCCUGAUCCUUAUAUGAAUUUGGUGCCUCUAUAAAGCUCGAAACAAGGCAAGUUUUGGCUUCAGAGGGCUGUGAAAAAGCCUCUGCCACUGGAGUAUUUCUCCCAAUUCCACUGGAGGUCAGUGCAGCCCUACAGUUCUGCUGGCACAAUUGUCCUUUUCACUCUGCUCGUGUGCUACAGCUGAGCACAAACCCCUGUAGAGCUGUUUUUAAACUAGAUUUGUGUAGUAAUAAAUACAGGCUUAAGAACCGUGUUUCGUGGUUAUAUUUGGAACAUCCUAGCAGGGAUGUGAGAAUCGCAACUCGUUUGGGUGUUGGUGGGGUUUUUUUCCCUUUCUUGUUAUUGUGGCAGGUGUUUGUCAAGAGCUCAGGGUGAUUUUUUUCCUUGUAAAAGUGAAAUUACUUGGGAUGUGAAAGCAGAAGAUUUUGUUUUUGGAGCUCCAGAGAAAAACACAUCUUUGAGUUCCCAGCCUGAGAGGAGUGAGGGCAUUCACACAUCACCCUCACCCCUCCCAGCUGUGCAGAUCCACCUGAGCGAGCUCCAAAUCAUCCCCUGUGGAGGAGGUGCUUUAUUCCUGCUCAUUGAUUUACCUUUCAGCUGUACUGGCCAGAGAGCUCAUUAGGAGAAGGGGCUGCAAACCUCAAUUCCUGAUUCCCCCAGGCAAAGGAAUGACUCAAAUCUUCGGGUUUGCAUCCUCCCUUCCUUCCCUGGAGGGAUGUUGAGGUGGAAGCUGUCCUGGCUGAGCUGGCCAUAGAGGACACUGUGUCCAGGAUGUUCAGGUCCCAGUUUAAUUCCGUGUGCAUUUAGCUGAGUCAAAGCAAUGCUGGCAGAGCACGAGAUGAUCAGGCUCAGCCUCCUUGACACACUCAAACACACAGAUUUCCAAACACGCUGCUUCCACUGUGGAGGAUUUCUUGUGUAGCAGCAAUCUCAUAAAGGAAAUGCUGACAGCUGUAUCCACUGGUUAAUUUAAAACUCAGCUGGAACAAGACCUGGGCAAAAUAUUAUUGUGAAGUGACUCUCAUUCGCUGUUGUUCCAUUACUGAAGCAACAAGUUCUACCACAGGCUGCCCUCCCUGUGUCCUUGUACCCUGACUUAAUUUCCCUCUUGGCUCCUGCAGUAAUAUCCUUGUGCACCAGAAUGUCACAGCACUGUCCCCCUCCUGCUCUGAGCCUGCUCCUGCUCGUGUGUUUUGCAUGCACAGACCCUUUGGAGGGCUGUGGGAAGGUUUCUUGUGCCCCUGAUUUGGCAGCUCCCUUCCAUCCUCACCCUCCCAGCUCGUGGGUGGCAUAAAAAGCUCACAGCCUCUUCUGCUGCUGGUCCUGCCCAGCUCUCCUCUCUUCACAGCUGGGUUUUGGCUCUUUGGGGAGCAAUCCAGCCCCAUUCCUUACCCCUUCACUCCCUAUCUCCCUAGGACCAUCCCACCCUUGGGGCAGUAUUUCCCCCAAAUAAAGAAACCUCUGCUGAGUGAGAGCCCCCCCUCUUCCAAUCUUCCAGGUCCCUGCAGCAGCUGAUUAACAUAACAGCAUUUUCUGUUCUAAACCCUGUGAUUUCCAUGUCCUUCUCAUGCUUUCAUUCAGCAAAAAAGGCUCUUUAUAGGCCACAACUAGGAAAACUGGAAAUGUUGCCUUUGUUUUUAGAAUUAACAAGUCUUUCUUGUACAAUAUAUGCUUUAUAGCUCUCUACACCCUCCAUGACUUAUUUUAUGCUAAUAGUUCCCUAAGUAUUAUUAAUUAGAUUUUUUUUUAAGUAAGAGAAAGUUCUUGAAAGUUAAUUAAAAGUUCC